rnacentral:rRNA from 1 species
UACCCGCAGCUCAAGUGGUGGUCAUUAUUAUUGGGCCUAAAGCGUCCGUAGCUGGCUUGUUAGAUGCCUGGGUAAAUCGAUGCGCUUAACGUAUCGAAUUCCGGGUAGACCGGCAAGCUCGAGACCGGGAGAGGCGUGAGCUACUCAAGGGGUAGGGGUAAAAUCCUGUAAUCCUUUGGGGAGGACCAGUGGCGAAGGCGUCACGCUAGAACGGCUCUGACAGUGAGGGACGAAGCCUUGGGGCGCAAACCGG